GAAGAAGAAGAGGAAGAGGAGGAGGAGGAGGAGGAGGAGAAGGAGAAGGAGAAGGAAGACGAAGAGAAGGAAGAAGAUAAAAAGAGAAUCAAGAGAAGAACAAAGUGGAUGCGGAGGAACAAAGGAACACGAAAGAAGAACAAGCAACAGCAGACUUGUUGGUCCUCAAGGGGUUACUUAAAAAUGGACCCAUCGCUGUAUGUUGUCAAGAAAGCCAUCAGCUCCAGCAGGAGGAACGAGCCUCUGUAACUUGGCAGGCAGAUAGGCUUGUACCUACAGGAUGGACUCCCUUCUCAUCACCUAGACUGCUGGGCGGGUGGAGGACUCUCGUGGACAGGUGAGCACAGGUGAACAGCGGCGCGCCCUUCACCUCGCCGUCAAGGUUCCAUGAAAACCCAAGUUAAGGUGCAUUAAAGUGUCGCCAGAAACACUAAUUCCUGAUCCCCACACCUGGCCUAAUGGAAGCCAAUCAGCGAGGUGCGAAAUGUUGAUCCUUCCUGUAAUCUGUGGGUCAGAAUUAUGAAGCAGCAAAGGUCAACUCAGAGGAGGAUUGCAUGCCUCGACUGGAAACUUGACGGCGUGGGCUGAAGCUUGAGUUAGAAUUGAAAAAGAGAUAGAAGGAAAUUGUUUUCUCAUGUAUUGGUAGUUGAAUGGAAUUGACUUAGUAAUCCCGUUGUAAGUGCAGAGUCAUUAGAGAACUUUAGAUGAAAACAAGAAUGCACGUUCAUGGUUCAAAUUCAUUUUAGAUUUGUAAGAGAUGAGAAAAUUGGUUCUCAUAUAGUGGCAGAUAAAUGGAAUAGACUCAAUAAUCAGGUUGUUAUUACAGUCAUUAGAGAACUUAAGAUGUGGAGAACAUGUGUUUUGGGCGCAAGCUUGACUUAGACCUGAAACAAAAGUGAUAGGAAGAAAGUGGUUCUCAAAUAUAACAGGUGAAUGGAAUAGACUGAGUAAUGGGAAUGUUAGUCAUGCGUCAUUACGAAGUUUAACACGAAAAGCUAACAAGGUGGUGUGUUCUGUGUUCAAGUUUAAGUCAGAUAUAAAAAAAAAGUGAUAGAUGGAAACUGGUUCUCUAUACCCUUUGAAAAAUCACCCUUAUGUGAGACUACUGAAUUAUAGACGUACAUACAUUCACAUAUACAUGCAUACAUAUAUAUACACAUUACAAACCCUCAGUGAGUAGUA